UUACCGUAUCCAAAUUGUGCAAACGCUCAAAAUGCUGAGCUAAUUAUUGUGGUGCAUGCGAGUCGUCAUACUCGUUGAUAUAUGUCUAUUGGCUCUGCCGGGCAGGUGAUUACCUGCUCAGGUAGUGUCUAACCAUUGGGCAGGGUGUCUGCCUGUCAGAUGCCUCUAGCAUGCUGUGGUCCUCGACCGCCAGUCCAUGUGGGAGGUGACAGGAGGUGCAAUCCAGUCAUGGAUAGUGCCAGGCUCAAAGAGUGGUGAAUAUCAAGAGCUACGGCUCGGCCACCGCCCUGCUUUGUUUUUCUGGAAUUUUAUUCCAUUCACACUGUUGCUGCAUCUGGUCGGGUUCAUCCGGCUUGGCAGUUCUAGUGCUCUCGGCUUUGUGCUGAGUUGCGCGUGCAAUCAUCCAGAGUGCCUCACGUGGGUGGUUGUGAAACAGAUCGGGCAUCCGGGUGACCGUUUGCUCGUGAUGUGAAUAACUCUAUGCGGUGGAUCACUCGGCUCGUGCGUCGAUGAAGAGCGCAGCCAACUGUGUGAAUUAAUGUGAAUUGCAUACUGCUCUGAACAUCGACAUCUUGAACGCAUAUUGCGGCCACGGGUUAGCCCGUGGCCACGCCUGUCCGAGGGUCGGCUUGUGAACUAUCACGACGCCCAACUGGUCGUGGCUUGGGUUUUGCCGGCUGGCGUGAUUUCCCAUUGCUCGGUUUAUGCCGGGUUCGGGUGCCAGAUCUAUGGCGUUUCCCUAAUGUAUCCGGGCACAUCUGCAUCCUUUGUGUUGAGCUUGGAUGAGGACGUGGCGACGGAGUCGUGGCUCAGUUGUUUAAACACGCUCCGAAUCGUGGUGGUCCUCUCUUAUGCAUGUGGUGCGAUGUUGUCUGGUUUAGCGGUGUGACCCAUUGGUACAUCGUUCCUGACCUCGGAUCAGACGUGAUUACCCGCUGAACUUAAGCAUAUCACUAAGCGGAGGAAAAGAAACUAACAAGGAUUCCCUUAGUAACGGCGAGUGAACAGGGAUGAGCCCAACACCGAAGCCUUCGGUCAUUUGUCCGUUAGGCAAUGUGGUGUUCAGGUUGAUUCGUUGAGACACUGCUCCUCUCUAAGUCCAUCAAUGAGUACGGUUGUACUUACAUGGCCCCCGGAGGGUGAAAGGCCCGUAGGAGUGGAGUUCAGUCACGACAGUGUCUCUCUGAGUUGACCUUGGAGUCGGGUUGUUUGGGAAUGCAGCCCAAAGUGGGUGGUAAACUCCAUCCAAGGCUAAAUACAAGCACGAGUCCGAUAGCAAACAAGUACCGUGAGGGAAAGUUGAAAAGUACUUUGAAGAGAGAGUAAACAGUGCGUGAAACCGCUUAGAGGUAAACGGGUGGAGUUGAACUGCAAUCUCUGUGAAUUCAGCUGGUGAAAGUGAAUUGAGCUUGGUCAAAUUGGGCAGGGCCUCGGGGUAUGCUUAGCUGCAUGUCCUGAUCUUCGGGUCGGGAUGCGCGUUGCUCUUAUCAGGAGCUGUGCGCCUCGGGUGUCCGGCUGGCUCGUUCGCCAGUGCACUUUCUCAGAGUGAUCACCACGACCGGCGCUGCCGUUCGGCUGUCGGGGUUAAAUCGGUCAUUCAUCGUCCUUGUGGUGUUGUUUGGUCGACACGGCAGGUCACUGGGUGCUCGCUUCGGCGCGCAUUCCGGUAUAUGCUGGCCUGGACGGUUCUGUGCGGUGCGUCGGAGACGGCGGCUUUUGUGUAUACACGUGCUCUGUCUGCUGAUGUAUUCUGACUCGGUGGCUGUGUGCUUGUUCAAGCAGGCCCAGUUAUAGUCGGUGUAUGUCGGUGGGUGGUUGCGUGUGUGACACUUCAUUGGGCCCAUAGUCUGUGGUGUUGUGGUAGACUGUCCAUCCGACCCGUCUUGAAACACGGACCAAGGAGAGUAACAUGUGCGCGAGUCAUUGGGCGUAACGAAACCCAAAGGCGCAGUGAAAGUGAAGGUUUGGCUUGUCCAGACUAAGGUGAGAUCUUGUCGUUUCUCAUGCGUGGUACCACCAAGCUUAGAGCGGCAGGCGCAUCACCGGCCCGUCCCAUGACGUAGUCACUGUCUCCGGAUGGUGCGCCGUCGGGGCGGAGCAUGAGCGUACAUGUUGAGACCCGAAAGAUGGUGAACUAUGCUUGCGCAGGUUGAAGCCAGAGGAAACUCUGGUGGAGGACCGCAGCGAUUCUGACGUGCAAAUCGAUCGUCAAACGUGAGUAUAGGGGCGAAAGACUAAUCGAACCAUCUAGUAGCUGGUUCCCUCCGAAGUUUC
rnacentral:rRNA from 1 species